rnacentral:lncRNA from 13 species
ACUGUUAGUUUGAAGUAUCAUUAUGUUACUGUUUGAAGUAUCAUUAUGUUACUGUUUGUUUGAAGUAUCAUUAUGUUACUGUUUGUUUGAAGUAUCAUUAUGUUACUGUUUGAAGUAUCAUUAUGUUUGUUUGAAGUAUCAUUAUGUUACUGUUAGUUUGAAGUGUCGUUAUGUUACUGUUAGUUUGAAGUGUCGUUAUGUUACUGUUUGUUUGAAGUAUCAUUAUGUUACUGUUUGUUUGAAGUAUCAUUAUGUUACUGUUAGUUUGAAGUGUCGUUAUGUUACUGUUAGUUUGAAGUGUCGUUAUGUUACUGUUUGUUUGAAGUAUCAUUAUGUUACUGUUUGAAGUAUCAUUAUGUUACUGUUUGUUUGAAGUGUCGUUAUGUUACUGUUAGUUUGAAGUAUCGUUAUGUUACUGUUUGUUUGAAGUAUCAUUAUGUU